CGCAANGCGAUAUGUAAUGUGAAUUNCAGAAUUCAGUGAAUCAUCGACUCUUUGAACGCAAAUUGCA
rnacentral:rRNA from 1 species